GAUGAACGCUGGCGGCGUGCCUAAUACAUGCAAGUCGAGCGAAUGGAUUAAGAGCUUGCUCUUAUGAAGUUAGCGGCGGACGGGUGAGUAACACGUGGGUAACCUGCCCAUAAGACUGGGAUAACUCCGGGAAACCGGGGCUAAUACCGGAUAACAUUUUGAACCGCAUGGUUCGAAAUUGAAAGGCGGCUUCGGCUGUCACUUAUGGAUGGACGCGCGUCGCAUUAGCUAGUUGGUGAGGUAACGGCUCACCAAGGCAACGAUGCGUAGCCGACCUGAGAGGGUGAUCGGCCACACUGGGACUGAGACACGGCCCAGACUCCUACGGGAGGCAGCAGUAGGGAAUCUUCCGCAAUGGACGAAAGUCUGACGGAGCAACGCCGCGUGAGUGAUGAAGGCUUUCGGGUCGUAAAACUCUGUUGUUAGGGAAGAACAAGUGCUAGUUGAAUGAGCUGGCACCUUGACGGUACCUAACCAGAAAGCCACGGCUAACUACGUGCCAGCAGCCGCAGUAA
rnacentral:rRNA from 1 species